CUACGGGCCGCAGCAGUGAGGAAUAUUGCACAAUGGGGGGAACCCUGAUGCAGCAACGCCGCGUGGAGGAUGACGCAUUUCGGUGUGUAAACUCCUUUUAUAUGUCAAGAAAAUGACGGUAGCAUAUGAAUAAGCGCCGGCUAACUCCGUGCCAGCAGCCGCGGUAAUUCGGAGGGUGCAAGCGUUACUCGGAAUCACUGGGCGUAAAGGACGCGUAGGCGGGUUGGAAAGUCAGGUGUGAAAUCCUACAGCUUAACUGUAGAACUGCACUUGAAACUUCUAAUCUAGAGUAUGGGAGGGGGAGAUGGAAUUAGUGGUGUAGGGGUAAAAUCCGUAGAUAUCACUAGGAAUACCUAAAGCGAAGGCGAUCUCCUGGAACAUUACUGACGCUAAGGCGUGAAAGCGUGGGGAGCAAACAGGAUUAGAUACCCUAGUAGUC
rnacentral:rRNA from 1 species